GAAAACUACAAAUACAUAUGGACCAAAAGCCUACUAAAACUUGAAGAAAAUAAUAAAUUAAAGAAAUUCCAAGCUUUACCAUAAACAGCUGUAACUUAAAUCUUAAAUCCCUUGGACACACUUUACAGGAGGAAGUCAAUGGGAUGAAGCCAGAGCAGAAGAUGACUGAGCAGAAAUUAACAAAGUACAUCAGUCCCAGCAUGUCCUUGAGGAGUACCUGGAACAACUAAUCUCGGGAGUCUGUGCUUCCUCUAGAGUACCAGUCAUGCCCACAUGUGAUGAAGACAGGAUUCUAAGGUUUGGCACUUCUUCAAAUUGGAUUAGUUGGAGGAUGUUUCAAAGUUGGAAAGUUAUGUGUGUUACCCUUGGCACUGGAUGAUUGCAACAGUAAGUGGCAACUGGGAUAUUUCUCCAGAGCUUCUACAACAACAAAUUGAGAGUUUCACAAGCACCUGGGGCCCAGCAGACGUUGGGAAGCCUAUUCUGGGACUCGCCUCCAUCUAAAUGAUUUGAAAAUUCAGCUCCUGAACACAGCCAGAUUGCUGUCAGCAAUUCGAAUAAGUUUUAACAACACUGGAUCCACCUCAAGAGAAUAAUGAGGAAGAGAGGAGAAGGAAAAAAGGCAAGCAGGCAGGGAAGGACAGAGGAAAGAAAAAGAAAGAUUGUUUUGGUAGAAACUGGAAGUGAGCGAUGAGAAACAGCUUUAGUCACCUCGGAACAGGAAGGCUACUCUUAGAGAAGACACACAGAUCUCUGAGAGCUUUAACCAAAAACAGGCUGAAUUCAAGCACUUCAAUAGAGAAAUUCUCCAUCACAGAAUAAAAUAUUUGUUUACUACACUGG
rnacentral:lncRNA from 10 species